rnacentral:rRNA from 2 species
UUAAGUGACUAAGCGUACACGGUGGAUGCCUGGGCAGUCAGAGGCGAUGAAGGACGUACUAACUUGCGAUAAGCGCAGAUAAGGCAGUAAGAGCCGUUUGAGUCUGCGAUUUCCGAAUGGGGAAACCCAACUGCAUAAGCAGUUACUGUUAACUGAAUACAUAGGUUAACAGAGCAAACCGGGGGAACUGAAACAUCUAAGUACCCCGAGGAGAAGAAAUCAACCGAGAUUCCGGUAGUAGCGGCGAGCGAACCUGGAUUAGCCCUUAAGCACUCGGUGAAGUAGGUGAACAAGCUGGAAAGCUUGGCGAUACAGGGUGAUAGCCCCGUAACCGACGCUUCAUCGAGCGUGAAAUCGAGUAGGGCGGGACACGUGAUAUCCUGUCUGAAUAUGGGGGGACCAUCCUCCAAGGCUAAAUACUCCUGACUGACCGAUAGUGAACCAGUACCGUGAGGGAAAGGCGAAAGAACCCCUGUGAGGGGAGUGAAAUAGAACCUGAAACCGUGUACGUACAAGCAGUAGGAGCACCUUCGUGGUGUGACUGCGUACCUUUUGUAUAAUGGGUCAGCGACUUAUAUUCAGUGGCAAGGUUAACCGUAUAGGGGAGCCGUAGCGAAAGCGAGUCUUAACUGGGCGCUCAGUCUCUGGAUAUAGACCCGAAACCGGGUGAUCUAGCCAUGGGCAGGUUGAAGGUUGAGUAACAUCAACUGGAGGACCGAACCGACUAAUGUUGAAAAAUUAGCGGAUGACUUGUGGCUAGGGGUGAAAGGCCAAAUCAAACUCGGAGAUAGCUGGUUCUCCCCGAAAGCUAUUUAGGUAGCGCCUCGGACGAAUACUACUGGGGGUAGAGCACUGUUAAGGCUAGGGGGUCAUCCCGACUUACCAACCCUUUGCAAACUCCGAAUACCAGUAAGUACUAUCCGGGAGACACACGGCGGGUGCUAACGUCCGUCGUGGAGAGGGAAACAACCCAGACCGCCAGCUAAGGUCCCAAAGUAUUGCUAAGUGGGAAACGAUGUGGGAAGGCUCAGACAGCUAGGAUGUUGGCUUAGAAGCAGCCAUCAUUUAAAGAAAGCGUAAUAGCUCACUAGUCGAGUCGGCCUGCGCGGAAGAUGUAACGGGGCUAAGCAAUACACCGAAGCUGCGGCAAUAUCUUUUAGACAUUGGGUAGGGGAGCGUUCUGUAAGCCGUUGAAGGUGAAUCGUAAGGUUUGCUGGAGGUAUCAGAAGUGCGAAUGCUGACAUGAGUAACGACAAAGGGGGUGAAAAACCUCCUCGCCGGAAGACCAAGGGUUCCUGUCCAACGUUAAUCGGGGCAGGGUGAGUCGACCCCUAAGGUGAGGCCGAAAGGCGUAAUCGAUGGGAAACGGGUUAAUAUUCCCGUACUUCUGACUAUUGCGAUGGGGGGACGGAGAAGGCUAGGUGGGCCAGGCGACGGUUGUCCUGGUUCAAGUGCGUAGGCUUGAGAGUUAGGUAAAUCCGGCUCUCUCUAAGGCUGAGACACGACGUCGAGCUACUACGGUAGUGAAGUCAUUGAUGCCAUGCUUCCAGGAAAAGCCUCUAAGCUUCAGAUAGUCAGGAAUCGUACCCCAAACCGACACAGGUGGUCGGGUAGAGAAUACCAAGGCGCUUGAGAGAACUCGGGUGAAGGAACUAGGCAAAAUGGUACCGUAACUUCGGGAGAAGGUACGCUCUUGAUGGUGAAGUCCCUCGCGGAUGGAGCUGACGAGAGUCGCAGAUACCAGGUGGCUGCAACUGUUUAUUAAAAACACAGCACUGUGCAAAAUCGCAAGAUGACGUAUACGGUGUGACGCCUGCCCGGUGCCGGAAGGUUAAUUGAUGGGGUUAGCGCAAGCGAAGCUCUUGAUCGAAGCCCCGGUAAACGGCGGCCGUAACUAUAACGGUCCUAAGGUAGCGAAAUUCCUUGUCGGGUAAGUUCCGACCUGCACGAAUGGCGUAAUGAUGGCCACGCUGUCUCCACCCGAGACUCAGUGAAAUUGAAAUCGCUGUGAAGAUGCAGUGUACCCGCGGCUAGACGGAAAGACCCCGUGAACCUUUACUACAGCUUGGCACUGAACAUUGAACCUACAUGUGUAGGAUAGGUGGGAGGCUAUGAAGACGUGACGCCAGUUGCGUUGGAGCCGUCCUUGAAAUACCACCCUUGUAUGUUUGAUGUUCUAACUUAGACCCGUUAUCCGGGGUUGAGGACAGUGCCUGGUGGGUAGUUUGACUGGGGCGGUCUCCUCCCAAAGAGUAACGGAGGAGCACGAAGGUGGGCUAAUCACGGUUGGACAUCGUGAGGUUAGUGCAAUGGCAUAAGCCCGCUUAACUGCGAGAAUGACGGUUCGAGCAGGUGCGAAAGCAGGUCAUAGUGAUCCGGUGGUUCUGUAUGGAAGGGCCAUCGCUCAACGGAUAAAAGGUACUCCGGGGAUAACAGGCUGAUACCGCCCAAGAGUUCAUAUCGACGGCGGUGUUUGGCACCUCGAUGUCGGCUCAUCACAUCCUGGGGCUGAAGUCGGUCCCAAGGGUAUGGCUGUUCGCCAUUUAAAGUGGUACGCGAGCUGGGUUUAGAACGUCGUGAGACAGUUCGGUCCCUAUCUGCCGUGGGCGUUGGAAGAUUGAAGGGGGCUGCUCCUAGUACGAGAGGACCGGAGUGGACGAACCUCUGGUGUUCGGGUUGUGUCGCCAGACGCAUUGCCCGGUAGCUAAGUUCGGAAUUGAUAAGCGCUGAAAGCAUCUAAGCGCGAAGCGAGCCCUGAGAUGAGUCUUCCCUGACAGUUUAACUGUCCUAAAGGGUUGUUCGAGACUAGAACGUUGAUAGGCAGGGUGUGUAAGCGUUGUGAGGCGUUGAGCUAACCUGUACUAAUUGCCCGUGAGGCUUAACCAU